rnacentral:lncRNA from 1 species
AUUAAUUUUGCUAAAUAAACGACAUAUAGCUUUAUUUUAAAAAGUCCAGCUAAAAAGUAUUAAAAAUCAGUGUUUGUUGUAAUACGCAGCUGCACUUCUAGUUCUGCUUUAAGACCAAGUUUUCUAGUCCUUUCCUGUUGCCUGCCCCAGGUGAGUAACACGACCCUGGUGAGAUAAUGGAGGAGGUUCUCCCGUCCCUGCCUUGGGCCAGAGCGUGGCUGUGGUGACAGAUGCCUGUGCCUGCAUGUGUCAGGCAAGGGCUGCUGCUCGCUUCCAAAUGGUUCCUUGAUAUGGCAUCCCCAAAGAGUCUGUAAUCCUUGUCUGCUUUGUUCUGCAUUGCUUAAUAUCCAGUGACUCAGCAGCAUUCCCUGCCACCCACUGGCACAUCUCCCCUGUUAUUUUAUGCAUUGUGAAACAGCCGUGAUUUCAUUUCACGGGUGAGGAAUGAGCCUGCCACACGUAAUUCCCCAGCACUUAUGUGGGAUCUUAUCAGGGAACUUCACAGCCCCAGGAAAAGUUCAGCUGGCAUCUCAGUAAAAGCUCUGCUUUGUGGAAAGCCAGUUUUAAAGUGUUUAUCCCAGUGAUCAUCCAGGGCCCAGGAAGCCAAGGAAAUGGCAGGGCAAGCACCAAGGGACACUUCCUGCAGAAGUGAUGAGCAGAUGCUCCAGGAGAGGCACUGAACCAGCUAUGGAGCAGCACUGCCACAGCCCAGGAGCUUCUCCAGGAACAGCAGCUGCAGUUCCCCUGCUCCGUGGGACAAAGAGAGCCAGCUGACCCAGCUUCAGCAUUGAAGGGACUUCAAAAGGCUCAUAAUGCUCUGCUCUCUCUGCUCCAUGUGAUUUUGAAGACUAGGACUUCAGGCAGAACCUUGCCCCAGGAGAGGACAGAGUGCCUGUGGGAACCCAGGAAAUUCCUCUGGCUGCCCUGGAGGGCUUGAGACCCUGGCAUGGAGCCCAAGACCCCUGUGCCUUUGAUCUUGACCCAUAUAAAACAAUUACCAACCUUUAUAUGAAGAAUUACAA